rnacentral:rRNA from 1 species
GACGAACGCUGGCGGCGUGCUUAACACAUGCAAGUCGAACGGAAAGGCCCCUGUGGGGGUGCUCGAGUGGCGAACGGGUGGGUAACACGUGAGUAACCUGCCCUUGCCUUCGGGAUAACUUAAUGAAACUGGGGGUAAUACCGGAUAGGAAUCCUUGCUGCAUGGUGGGGGGUGGGAGGCUUGGGCGGUUGUGGAGGGACUGUGGGCUUAUCAGCUUGUUGGUGGGGUAGUGGCUUACCAAGGCUUUGACGGGUAGCCGGCCGGGGAGGGUGACCGGCCACAUUGGGACUGGAAUACGGCCCGGCCUCCAACGGGAGGCAGCAGUGGGGAAUAUGGCACAAUGGGCGGAAGCCUGUUGCAGCAACGCCGCGUGCGGGAUGACGGCCUUCGGUUGGUAACCCGCUUUCGCCGGUGACGAAGCGGGAGUGACGGUAACGGGAGAAGAAGCACCGGCUAACUACGUG